GCCAUGCCGCGUGAGUGAUGAAGGCCUUAGGGUCGUAAAGCUCUUUCGCCAGAGAUGAUAAUGACGGUAGCAGUAGAAGAAACCCCGGCUAACUCCGUGCCAGCAGCCGCGGUAAUACGGAGGGGGUUAGCGUUGUUCGGAAUUACUGGGCGUAAAGCGUACGUAGGCGGAUUAAUAAGUUAGAGGUGAAAUCCCAGGGCUCAACCCUGGAACUGCCUUUAAAACUGUUAGUCUUGAGAUCGAGAGAGGUGAGUGGAAUUCCAAGUGUAGAGGUGAAAUUCGUAGAUAUUUGGAGGAACACCAGUGGCGAAGGCGGCUCACUGGCUCGAUACUGACGCUGAGGUACGAAAGUGUGGGGAGCAAACAGGAUUAGAUACCCUGGUAGUCCACACCGUAAACGAUGAAUGCCAGACGUCAGCAAGCAUGCUUGUUGGUGUCACACCUAACGGAUUAAGCAUUCCGCCUGGGGAGUACGGUCGCAAGAUUAAAACUCAAAGGAAUUGACGGGGGCCCGCACAAGCGGUGGAGCAUGUGGUUUAAUUCGACGCAACGCGCAGAACCUUACCAACCCUUGACAUACUUGUCGCGGAUUCCAGAGAUGGAUUCCUUCAGUUCGGCUGGACAGUGUACAGGUGCUGCAUGGCUGUCGUCAGCUCGUGUCGUGAGAUGUUCGGUUAAGUCCGGCAACGAGCGCAACCCACGUCCUUAGUUACCAGCAUUUAGUUGGGUACCCUAAGGAGACUGCCGGUGAUAAGCCGGAGGAAGGUGUGGACGACGUCAAGUCAUCAUGGCCCUUACGGGUUGGGCUACACACGUGCUACA
rnacentral:rRNA from 1 species